GAGUGCAGUGGCACAAUCAUGGCUCACCAUAGCCUGGAUUUCCUGAGCUCAAGUGAUCCUUGCACAUCAGCCUCCUCAGUAGCUGGGACUACAGGUGUGCACCACCAUGCCUAGCUAAUCACCUUCUGGAAUUUUGAAUGAAUAUUGCCUCCCUGCCCAGGAAGAACUGGAAUGCUCAUGGAUUGCUGGGGUGGACGCAGGCUCAUGGGAAUGGGGUUGAGGGGUGCUGGGUGGUCUGCACAUGUGGCUUCAAUGUUUGGGUUCAGUUUUAUGUUUCUCUCCAAGAGUUUUAAAAGUAAGUUAAGACCCACUCAAAAUGAGGCAUGGCCAUUGCAGUCAGUCUAAAAUAAAGGAGGGAAAUUGGAAAUCAUAAGCGUUUGUGUUCAGAGAAAUAGGUCAGAGGUCUUAAAACGUCUGGCUAUGCGAAACCCAAACAGCAACAAUGAGAUGCUUUGGGCCAAGCCCAGGCUCGGAACAAUCUGUGUCUGGAAUGGUUCAGAUUUUGUUCUCAGAAUUUGUCUGUUUUUCGGCAUUACCCCAAAUACCAAUACAAUGUCAAAAUAGAACCCAAUUCUCCGAUUGGAUGACCAAGGCUUCCUAUAGGGAAGAAGGUAAUUUUCCCCUUAAGAGUUUUAGCUGACUGAUCCUUCAUAGCACCUGACUCAGGUUACAAAAUUCAUACAAUCAAGAUCUAAAAACAGAUUUCUUUUCCAUGUUACUUUUCCUUAUCUAAGUGCUGCAACCCACUAAAAACAGCAAUUUGUUAAUUUUCUUAAUAUCUUCCAUUUUCCUCUUCACAACUCCAUUUUACAUCCAUGAUGCUUAGUUUUUUUCAGUGAUGCCUUAAAUUCUUACUGCUUGCUUCAUUUGAAUAUUAUGACAUUUAAUGAAAUCUUUCUCAUCAGGUUGAUGGAUUUCUUUGUUCCUGUUUCUUGUCCCUUUCAUAAUAUGUCAUUUUGGAAAAUUGGACUUUAAUGUUUUCUAAUUCUUCUUUUUAGCACUGUUUGCUAUCUCAUGUUUUUAGAAUGAUACUUUUACCACUUCUCACGUAUUGCCAAAAAGAAUCAAUUAACAUUUUCUCUAGAUCUCAUCUUGGAAAUAAAAAGAUAAAUACAUUCUUCCAUGCUAAAAAAUAGAACAGAAGAUGGUCCUUGUGCUCAUCCUGGUCAAUUCAGUUUCUGGGUCUGUUGAGAGAAAAUUAAUGGACAAAAGAAGGCUAUUAAAAAAAGAAUAUAAAGAAUUACUUUUUAGAAUUAAUUAAGUAAUGCAGGAGAACAUCAUGUGGUAACUAGAUUAUUGAGAAAUACUUUUUUUACUGACAGACUAUAUAAAACUCUGACACUUAUAAGAAUACUGUCUUUUCUGAAUGGGAGGAAGCACAAAUGCUCU
rnacentral:lncRNA from 1 species